AGCUUAAUAAUUGACCAUGAAGGAAAGAUUAACUUGAACAAAAACGAAGCUUUACAGGAGGUCAUGGAUAUGGAGAGAGAUGAAGACGGCCAGUCAAGUGGUUUUACGUCGUCGUGGUCAACAUUUUCAGAUGAUGAACAAGACGAUGGUGAUGAUGGCUGCAUUCUAAAUAAGGACGAUGUUUC